GAAGAACAUCAGAGAUCGGUCAGACACAGCACCUUCCAUGUCGACGCCCGCCACAGCCAGCAUCGUCCAAGACUCCGGCCUGCCCUCCACGGCGCACACGGCCAGGCAAGAUCAAUCAAGGAAGGAAGCAGUUCCAUCUGUGAUCCCUUUUCAGUUGAAGGAUGCGCAAACCCAAGGCCAAAAGGAAUCACUGGCAGCUCCAAUUCGAGCAAUCAGACCUUCAGUUAAGAUUGAUAUUCCCACUCAAGUUAAGGAAGCUUCAGCUAGUGCUAGCAGUGAAUUGCCAUCAUCUGCUACGGACAAUGCUGCUGCUAUGGAAUGCAGUACAUCAUCAAAAAUGUUCUUGGCAAUAAUGUUGCCGUAGAAAGCGAGGCAGUCCGGUGGCGAGGAGCAGAGGACGCGGCGUCGGGCCCCUCCGCUCUUCAUCCAUCACCAGAUCCAGCUGAUGCCUCCCCACGCCGCGGCCGCCGUGAAGAAGCGCGGCCAGCCGU
rnacentral:misc_RNA from 1 species